rnacentral:rRNA from 1 species
GAUUAAGUUAUUAAGGGCGCACGGUGGAUGCCUUGGCACUAGAAGCCGAUGAAGGACGUUACUAACGACGAUAUGCUUUGGGGAGCUGUAAGUAAGCUUUGAUCCAGAGAUUUCCGAAUGGGGAAACCCAGCAUGAGUUAUGUCAUGUUAUCGAUAUGUGAAUACAUAGCAUAUCAGAAGGCACACCCGGAGAACUGAAACAUCUUAGUACCCGGAGGAAGAGAAAGAAAAUUCGAUUCCCUUAGUAGCGGCGAGCGAAACGGGAAGAGCCCAAACCAACAAGCUUGCUUGUUGGGGUUGUAGGACACUCUAUACGGAGUUACAAAGGACGACAUUAGACGAAUCAUCUGGAAAGAUGAAUCAAAGAAGGUAAUAAUCCUGUAGUCGAAAAUGUUGUCUCUCUUGAGUGGAUCCUGAGUACGACGGAACACGUGAAAUUCCGUCGGAAUCUGGGAGGACCAUCUCCUAAGGCUAAAUACUCUCUAGUGACCGAUAGUGAACCAGUACCGUGAGGGAAAGGUGAAAAGCACCCCGGAAGGGGAGUGAAAUAGAACCUGAAACCGUGUGCUUAAGCGAAAGCGAGUCUGAAUAGGGCGUUUAGUAUUUGGUCGUAGACCCGAAACCAGGUGAUCUACCCUUGGUCAGGUUGAAGUUCAGGUAACACUGAAUGGAGGACCGAACCGACUUACGUUGAAAAGUGAGCGGAUGAACUGAGGGUAGCGGAGAAAUUCCAAUCGAACCUGGAGAUAGCUGGUUCUCUCCGAAAUAGCUUUAGGGCUAGCCUCAAGUGAUGAUUAUUGGAGGUAGAGCACUGUUUGGACGAGGGGCCCCUCUCGGGUUACCGAAUUCAGACAAACUCCGAAUGCCAAUUAAUUUAACUUGGGAGUCAGAACAUGGGUGAUAAGGUCCGUGUUCGAAAGGGAAACAGCCCAGACCACCAGCUAAGGUCCCAAAAUAUAUGUUAAGUGGAAAAGGAUGUGGCGUUGCCCAGACAACUAGGAUGUUGGCUUAGAAGCAGCCAUCAUUUAAAGAGUGCGUAAUAGCUCACUAGUCGAGUGACACUGCGCCGAAAAUGUACCGGGGCUAAACAUAUUACCGAAGCUGUGGAUUGUCCUUUGGACAAUGGUAGGAGAGCGUUCUAAGGGCGUUGAAGCAUGAUCGUAAGGACAUGUGGAGCGCUUAGAAGUGAGAAUGCCGGUGUGAGUAGCGAAAGACGGGUGAGAAUCCCGUCCACCGAUUGACUAAGGUUUCCAGAGGAAGGCUCGUCCGCUCUGGGUUAGUCGGGUCCUAAGCUGAGGCCGACAGGCGUAGGCGAUGGAUAACAGGUUGAUAUUCCUGUACCACCUAUAAUCGUUUUAAUCGAUGGGGGGACGCAGUAGGAUAGGCGAAGCGUGCGAUUGGAUUGCACGUCUAAGCAGUAAGGCUGAGUAUUAGGCAAAUCCGGUACUCGUUAAGGCUGAGCUGUGAUGGGGAGAAGACAUUGUGUCUUCGAGUCGUUGAUUUCACACUGCCGAGAAAAGCCUCUAGAUAGAAAAUAGGUGCCCGUACCGCAAACCGACACAGGUAGUCAAGAUGAGAAUUCUAAGGUGAGCGAGCGAACUCUCGUUAAGGAACUCGGCAAAAUGACCCCGUAACUUCGGGAGAAGGGGUGCUCUUUAGGGUUAACGCCCAGAAGAGCCGCAGUGAAUAGGCCCAAGCGACUGUUUAUCAAAAACACAGGUCUCUGCUAAACCGUAAGGUGAUGUAUAGGGGCUGACGCCUGCCCGGUGCUGGAAGGUUAAGAGGAGUGGUUAGCUUCUGCGAAGCUACGAAUCGAAGCCCCAGUAAACGGCGGCCGUAACUAUAACGGUCCUAAGGUAGCGAAAUUCCUUGUCGGGUAAGUUCCGACCCGCACGAAAGGCGUAACGAUUUGGGCACUGUCUCAACGAGAGACUCGGUGAAAUCAUAGUACCUGUGAAGAUGCAGGUUACCCGCGACAGGACGGAAAGACCCCGUGGAGCUUUACUGUAGCCUGAUAUUGAAAUUCGGCACAGCUUGUACAGGAUAGGUAGGAGCCUUUGAAACGUGAGCGCUAGCUUACGUGGAGGCGCUGGUGGGAUACUACCCUAGCUGUGUUGGCUUUCUAACCCGCACCACUUAUCGUGGUGGGAGACAGUGUCAGGCGGGCAGUUUGACUGGGGCGGUCGCCUCCUAAAAGGUAACGGAGGCGCUCAAAGGUUCCCUCAGAAUGGUUGGAAAUCAUUCAUAGAGUGUAAAGGCAUAAGGGAGCUUGACUGCGAGACCUACAAGUCGAGCAGGGUCGAAAGACGGACUUAGUGAUCCGGUGGUUCCGCAUGGAAGGGCCAUCGCUCAACGGAUAAAAGCUACCCCGGGGAUAACAGGCUUAUCUCCCCCAAGAGUCCACAUCGACGGGGAGGUUUGGCACCUCGAUGUCGGCUCAUCGCAUCCUGGGGCUGUAGUCGGUCCCAAGGGUUGGGCUGUUCGCCCAUUAAAGCGGUACGCGAGCUGGGUUCAGAACGUCGUGAGACAGUUCGGUCCCUAUCCGUCGCAGGCGUAGGAAAUUUGAGGAGACCUGUCCUUAGUACGAGAGGACCGGGAUGGACGUACCUCUGGUGUACCAGUUGUUCUGCCAAGGGCAUGGCUGGGUAGCUAUGUACGGAAUGGAUAAGCGCUGAAAGCAUCUAAGCAUGAAGCCCCCCUCAAGAUGAGAUUUCCCAACUUCGGUUAUAAGAUCCCUCAAAGAUGAUGAGGUUAAUAGGUUCGAGGUGGAAGCAUGGUGACAUGUGGAGCUGACGAAUACUAAUCGAUCGAAGACUUAAUCAA